rnacentral:lncRNA from 1 species
AUCCAUGUGUGAAGUGUGUUGGGUAAAUCAUAGCCAUCCAUGUGCCCCCUUGCUUGCCAACUCUCUUUGAUUUUCUUCUUUUCUUUUCCCUUUUCUUCUUUUUCUUGCAUUUUCUCUUCUUUCUUUAUUUAUCUACAAUUUCCUGAAAUAAAAUAAAUAAGCGAUUAAUACUACAAAAAUAAACAAAAAAUAGGCACUUAAAUAUGCAAAAAUAUGGACUAAUCAUUAUUAUCCUUAUAUAUUUUGGAUCACCAAAGUCCAUGUUACCUUGUAAUGGGCUGAUACCUAACAAUCCUCCCCUUCAGCCCAAUACAAUCAACAAUCACGAUGAAGACACCGGCGUCCAUCCGCCAAUGCCUCCCCUCGAACAAGAAUCUCCGCUUCUCGUUCUUCCAAACUUUGAGUGUCACCAAAUUUCACUUUAAUGAACUCCCAACCACCGCUUUUUAUCAAAACGGUAUAUCCAUCUACAAAAUCACGUGCAUCAACCACGAGUGCUCUUCCAUCCAUGAGUCACCCGAUCCUUGCUUUCACAAUCCUCCGGCCUCUAGAAGAACCAUCCAAUCUUCUUCCAUAUUGAGUCCAUCAUGAUUGAUCCACGGUGCAAGUCAACCGACAUACCGCACGUAACUUUGCCUAUUCCUGCUAACAAAAUUCACCAUACUCUGCAUUCUCGAUUGAAUCCCGAAUUUAUCCUCAACCCCAUCAAUCACGAUCCUGACCUCGGCUCUUGAUACCACUUGUUAGGAAAAAACACGAGAUUCAACUUCUAACGCAAAGCACACACAACAAUAUAUUUGACGCGGAAAAUCCACGUCCCAACUUGUAUUAUUAAUCAAAACCGUUAUCAAUAAUACAAUCAAACCAAACUUGGAUACUCAAGUCUACUACUCAAGUAUCCGCCCGCAAGCGAUACCUAAGUCUACAUCUUGAGCACACCUAUCAAACACAAUAUAACUAUGUAUAUAUAGCCAUCUCAAACUUAGACAAAUCAGAAUCUAACUCUAACUCUUAAAUACCUAACUACAAUUGGAAUCCAAUUCUGAAAUCUUCAACUCAAAUCAGAAUCCAAUUCCAACUGGGUUAAUACCCAAGAAUCCUCUUCUAACUAUGUGACCAAAACAUAUCUUAUAAUAAUUGUCUAAACAUACAAUUAUUAUCCUUAUAUAUUUUGGAUCACCAAAAUCCAUGUUACCUUGUAAUGGGCUGAUACCUAACAAACCUCCCCUUCAGCCCAAUACAAUCAACAAUCACGAUGAAGACACCGGCGUCCAUCCGCCAAUGCCUCCCCUCGAACAAGAAUCUCCGCUUCUCGUUCUUCCAAACUUUGAGUAUCACCAAAUUUCACUUUAAUGAACUCCCAACCACCGCUCUUUAUCAAAACGGUAUAUCCAUCUACAAAAUCACGUGCAUCAACCACGAGUGCUCUUCCAUC